GGGAUCUUAGGUCAGCUGGGAGAGCAUCUGCCUUACAAGCAGAGGGUCACAGGUUCGAGCCCUGUAGGUCCCA
rnacentral:tRNA from 1 species